rnacentral:lncRNA from 1 species
AAUUGUAUGUGUGCUAAGCAGCUGUAGCAUCCAGUUUGGGAUUCAGCACGAUCUGCAGUCAAACUAAAGAGUCCGAAUCAGUGUAACAGGAGCCGGCACAAAACAAGACGUUCUUCAGGGGCAGCCCCACUUUAUAUCAGAGAAUGAAGCUCUACAUCGAGGACAUGUGAAAUCACGGCCAUCUCACUCUUUGCGCUGGGCAUGUGCUGCAUUUGACGAGUUGCAGCUGCAUCAGCAAAAGCUAAUGGAAUGGUCCUGUGGUCCUAUGAGUUUGGCCGUGCUGUAUUGGCUGUGGACUACAUGGCGUUUACCCUCCGUCUCACCUACAUCUUCGCCACAAUUAGUAUCCAAAGAAAAGUGUCAAAACUGCACACACAAAAAAAAGUGUUGUAAUUUUACCCGAUUUAAUAUUAUUUUCCCCUCCUGAUUGGCAGACGAAAGACAUGUUAUUUUUCCUCUUCUUCCUGGCGGUGUGGCUCAUGGCCUACGGCGUAGCCAAUUAGGAGCUGCUUUCCUCCUACGACCUUGGUCCUGGUUGGAUAUUUCGCAGUGUUCUACAGGCCAUACCUCCACAUAUUUGGAUAGAUCCCUAUACACAAAAUGUUUGGUGAAUGGACCAACCAGACCCUCAAGACUGCCAUGGGCAAGUCCCUUGAUUGCUACCAGAAAGGGUGGGAGAAAAACCUGAAGGUAAUUCUCUUUGCUCACAACAGCAGCAUCCAGGCCUCCACCGAAUACGGACGGGAACUGCAGCUGUUGACUGAGUUGUUGAACCAGAUCAGAACGCCUUCAAGGACCACCUUCAGGCACGGACUGAGAAGGAUGUGGAGGUUUUUGAUCAGGUUAGACUGAACAUGGACAGGGCGAAGGAGAAACAGAAGGAGAGCUACUGGAGCAGAAUCAAGAAGGGGACCAAGUGCUUCGACAUAUGGGCAAAUUACUUGGUUUGGAAGAAGGACAAAAAGAAGGCGAGACCUGGGAAACCUCGCAGCUCUUUCGCUCCUAGAUGGGGUCACUAUCUGAUAAAGUGAAUAUAAAAAAUCUUGGUGGAAGCCAACAAUCUUCUACAGUUGGAGCAGUUGGAUGGUCGGCCACUGAAAGCACUGACUUCAGUGAAGCCCAAUGCUGAGCAUAUAAAAAUGUACCUCUUCAAUUUACCUCUCCAAAUGACUUUAGGACCAUCGACUGUCCGAGAUUCUCAGGAGGUUUGGCAUCCACCAGAACCAGUGAGUUUGAAUCAGUCUGAUUCUCUGUGCUCUGAGUCGGAGGUGGACCAGCUUGAGGACCUAUGGGUUCUGCCCAACACCCAGACGUGGAUCCACCUGAUGUCCUCCAUUACCAACCACCCUCCAACUUUUCAUUACAUCAUCUACAGUUACUGUUGUUGUCAUUAUCUGCAAAGAAAGUUUUCUUGCUCUAUCACAUAAUAUGUGAGAUACACAGAUGAACUAAAAACACUAGCACUACAAACACUCAGAACAAAUAGAGAAGCAGUGCCUGCUUUUUGCAGACUCCCUCUUCAAGUCCCCCUUCCAAGACUGGCUGCCUGUUGAGAACAAGUGACAGGCAGAACCUCCCAUUCACACAGCAAGCACCUCCUCUUUAUUCCACACACAAGAAUUCAAUAUUAUAGUCUAUGAUUGCCAUGUGAGUGUACAAAAACAAUUAAUGACACAACUGUACUAAAAACUAUCAAAGUUUAUGUAUUUAAAUAUUGCCAGGUUGGUUUUCACAGGUGUGUCACAAGGUGCUCAUUAUUGUAAGUUGUAAGGUAUCAUUUGAUGGUAUUUAUUUGUUCCACAUUAUUCAUUGUUGUAUUUUAGGACCUACAAUAGAUACACUAACUCAGAAAAAAAAGAAACGUCCUCUCACUGUCAACUUCAUUUUGAAUGGCCCUAGCCCUCACCCUCCGAUCCGACAGGUCCCAGAUGUACUCAAUGGGAUUGAGAUCCGGGCUCUUCGCUGGCCAUGGCAGAACACUGACAUUCCUGUCUUGCAAGAAAUCACGCACAGAACGAGCAGUAUGGCUGGUGGCAUUGUCAUGCUGGAGGGUCAUGUCAGGAUAAGCCUGCAGGAAGGGUACCACAAUGAGGGAGGAGGAUGUCUUCCCUGUAACGCACAGCAUUGAGAUUGCCUGCAAUGACCACAACCUCAGUCCGAUGAUGCUGUGACACACCGCCCCAGACCAUGACGAACCCUCCACCUCCAAAUCGAUCCCGCUCCAGAGUACAGGCCUCGGUGUAACGCUCAUUCCUUCGACGAUAAACACAAAUCCGACGAUCACACCUGAUGAGACAAAACCGUGAUGAGUGAUGAGUGCUUUUUGCCAGUCCUGUCUGGUCCAGCAACGGUGGGUUUGUGCCCAUAGGCAACGUUGUUGCCGGUGAUUUCUGGUGAGGACCUGCCUUACAACAGGCCUACAAGCCUUCAGUCCAGCCUCUCUCAGCCUAUUGCGGACAGUCUGAGCACUGAUGGAGGGAUUGUGUGCUCCUGGUGUAACUCAGGCAGUUGUUGUUGGCAUCCUGUACUUGUCCCAUAGAUGUGAUGUUUGGAUGUACCGAUCCUGUACAGGUGUUGUUACACGUGAUCUGCCACUGCGAGGACGAUCAGCUGUCUGUCCUGUCUCCCUGUAGCUCUGUCUUAGGCGUCUCACAGUACGGACAUUGCAAUUUAUUGCCCUGGCCACAUCUGCAGCAUGCCUAAGGCACGUUCACGCAGGUGAGCAGGGACCCUGGGCAUCUUUAUUUUGGUAUUUUUCAGAGUCAGUAGAAAGGACUCUUUAGUGUCCUAAGUUUUCAUAACUGUGACCUUAAUUGCCUACCGUCUGUAAGCUGUUACUGCCUUAGCGACCGUUCCACAGGUGCGUGUUCAUUAAUUGUUUAUGGUUUAUUGAAGAAGCAUGGAAACAGUGUUUAAACCCUUUACAAUGACGAUCUGUGAAGUUAUUUAGAUUUUUACCAAUUAUCUUUGAAAGACAGGGUCAUGAAAAAGGGACGUUUAUUUUGUUGCUGAGUUUAUAUGCGGGAAUUUUGCAAAUACGGGCCUUUUUGUGCUCAGGGUUAGAUUUUUAAGGUAAAAUGUCAAUUACAUAUUUUUUAUUUCGCCGCGAUUAAGUAGAAACUAAAAUAGCCUUUUUUUCAGCUUUAAAAAUGUUUUUUUAUUUUUUAUUUUCUUAAGCAUUUCAUGUAUGGAUUUCACUGUUUUGCACUGUUUUUGUCCUGUCUCUACAGAUUUUGACAUUCUUCAAUGUAUUACACUUUCAAAAUCUUGAUAAUUACAAAAUAUUUAAUGCACCUGUUUCCAUUAAAUAAAUGGAAACAAUAUACAUAUUAGAUGUGCAUAAGCCAUUUGUUACUUUUUUUUUUACACAAAAUGCAGUUGUCUCUAAGUAUUGUGCCAUUAACCCCACGACAAGCAAAUGACAUGAUAAUAACCUUUUUGCAAAAGUUUGGGAACUUGGUUACCAUGUAUAUGAAUAGUGACAGGGGAGCACGUGGAUGUCAUGGAGGGGAAUUCCAAUUAUGAUGCCAGGAAAUUAUUGAAAAAUAAAGGUAAAUAUGACUUGAGAGGAUAAUGUUUUUAUUGUACGUCAUUACCAAAUAGGCUAUAAUUUCAUCAAAUUAUGUUUGAUUUUUAAAAAUUAUGUUUCAAUUAUGUGUAUUUAGAAUACAUUGUAUGCUAGUUGUUUAACUGGAGUAGGCAUGCUAGAAUCCCUGCUAUUUAUGACCAAAUACUGUAAAAAUGUAAUUCCCACCACAUGUCAUUACCACCACAUAAUGAACUGUGAUGGUAAGGACAGAAUGUGGUGGUAAUGACAAAAUGUAUUAGUUCAUACAUUUUUACUUACCUUAAGACCUGAAAAGACAAACAAAUUACAUAUAUGAUCAUGGUUAAGUUGAAAUUGAAUAGUUAUUUGUUAAGAAGGAUGAGUGAUUUUUUAUGUCUAUUUAUUUGACUUACUAUGGUUAUUAAUGACUUUAAUUAUUUUUUAAUGUUUCUAUAAGAUGCCCCCUAAAUCAACCAAGGAGAGGACAAGGACUAACACUAUAUUUACAAAAGUAUGUGGACACCCCUUCAAAUUAGUGGAUUUGGCUAUUUCAGCCAAACCCAUUGCUGAAAGGUGUAUAAAAUUGAGCACGCAGCCAUGCAAUCUCUAUAGACAAACAUUGACAGUAGAAUGGUCCACAUUGAAGAGCUCAGUGACUUUCAACGUGGCACCGUCAUAGGAUGCCACUUUUCCAACAAGUCAGUUCGUCAAAUUUCUGCCCUGCUGGAACUGCCAAGGUCAACUGUAAGUGCUGUUAUUGUGAAGUGGUAAAAUCUAGGAGCAACAACGGCUCAUCAGCGAAGUGGUAGGCCACACAAGCUCACAGAACGGAACCGCCAAGUGCUGAAGCACGUAGCGCGUAAAAAUCAUCUGUCCUACGUUGUAACACUCACUACCGAGUUCCAAACUGCCUCUGGAAGCAACGUGAGCAAAAUAACUGUUUGUCGGGAGCCUCAGGAAAUGGGUUUCCAUGGCCGAGCAGCCGCACACAAGCAUAAGAUCACAAUGCACAAUACCAAGCUGGAGUGGUGUCAAUGCUAGCCGCCAUUGGACUCUGGAGCAGUGGAAACGCAUUCUCUGGAGUGAUGAAUCACGCUUCAUCAUCUGGCAAUCCGACAGACGAAUCUGGGUUUGGAGGAUGCCAGGAGAAUGCUACCUGCCCCAAUGCAGAGUGCAAACUGUCAAGUUUGGUGGAAGAGGAAUAAUGAUCUGGGGCUGUUUUUCAUGGUUUGGGCUAGGCCCCUUAGUUCCAGUGAAGGGAAAUCUUAACGCUACAGCAUACAAUGACAUUCUAGAUGAUUCUGUGCUUCCAACUUUGUGACAACAAUUUUGGGGAAGGCCCUUUCCUGUUUCAGCAUGACAAUGCCCCCAUGCACAAAGCAAGGUCCAUACAGAAAUGGUUUGUUGAGAUCGGUGUGGAAGAACUUGACUGGACUGCACAGGGCCCUGAUCUCAAGCCCAUCGAACACCUUUGGGAUGAAUUGGAACCAAUAGUCUGUUCCAUAUCUUCAAUAACAUUUAACAUGUACAACUGUGACAUUAAAAUGUUUAAUGGUAUUGUCACAGUCGUCUUCGUCUUCAGAAGAAAUAGAAAAGUCCUCAUCAGAAAAAGUAGACCAAUACGCAGCCGAGGUCGUGUUCAUCUUUGAGUUUAAUUAAUCGAUCACUUGAACACUAUACAAAAACAAUACUCACAACGGUAACAGUUUUGCAGGCUAUACAAAACGCAGUGCAAAAUCAAUCUCCCACAAAAGACAAACACACCCUCAUAUAUGGGACUCUCAAUCAAAGGCAAAUAGACAACACCUGCCUUCAAUUGAGAGUCCCAACCCCAAUGAACCCAAACAUAGAAACAGACACACUAGACUAAACAUAGAAUACAUGAAAAUCAAACAGUGCCCAAAAACCCCGGAAUACCUAAAUCAACUGCCCUACAACAAACACACCACCCCUAACCACAUAAAACAAAUACCCUCUGCCACGUCCUGACCAAACUACAAUACCAAUUAACCCUUAUACUGGCCAGAACGUGACAGGUAUUUGUCAUCAGUCGUUUUAUAUGAAAUGUAAUUUCCACCACACUCUGUCAUUACCACAACACUAAGUCAUUACCAUCACGGUACAUAUUUUUGAGGCAAAGGUGCAUUUUUCCCAUAUGUGAACCUUAUAUGCUUGUUCUUAAGAUAAUUUCUAAUGGAAUGUAAAAUAUUAAGAUUUUGAUGUUGUAAAUACAUUUUUCUGAGUAUCAUCAAGACAUAUAUGGACAUUUAGACAUGACAAUGAUGAAUGCAUAUAAUUAAGAACAUGUCCAAAUAGUAAAUAAAUAACAUUUAAAAAUACAAUGAAUGUGAAAUGUUAUACAAAAUACCAUUUGCACAUGUUCAUAAUCAUUAGUGUUCCGCGUUGCCACUGUCUAAUAACAGAUGUAAAAAAAAAAGAACGAUAGCAAAAAUGAGUUAUGCAAAAAUUAUUUCAUACUCCACAUUUAGGGGGCCACAAGGGGGUCCAAAAUUGUUGUCACAGGGGCCCCCCUGACCCCCCCAGCCCCCCAGAAUCGCCCCUGGUGUAGAUAAGGGAAGGGCAGGUUAAAUUAAAAACAUGACAGCCAGACAGCCAGUGUAUGAAUCAAACGGAUUCGCAAAUUAAUGGAGUGGAAAUUAACUUUGUGAUCUGUAAAGUAAGUAACUUUAAUGUGUCAAACAGAUUACACGUUUACUUUGCCAUUUCUGAAGCGUAGCAACGUUUAAGACAUGGAUAUCAUGUUGUAAUGCUAACAAGGUACCCAAAAGUAGUUGUUUUUAUUUUAUUAGGUAAACAAAACUUGUUUCAACCGUGACAUUGUCGUGGAAAUCAGCCUUGUUUGCAUAGCGAUGAUGAAAAGAACGUCAUUUAGGCUGUAAUGAUCUCCAAAAUUCAAAUCAUUAGGUCACCACACCGUUGAUAUGGCAAUGCACGCUAAUAGUUUAUUAAAUCCCAUUCUGACGCAGAGGGAGACACUAUUUCCCUUGGUUUCUUCCUUGCAUUUAGACUGCUCCUGUUGUAUCUGCCUGCUCAGCAUUGUAGAGAGCCCAUUCGUCAUGGUCACCCCUCUCACCCCCCCUCCCUCGCCC